rnacentral:rRNA from 1 species
AGUGAACGCUGGCGGCGUGCCUAAUACAUGCAAGUCGAACGGAGAUUAAGUAGCUUGCUAUUUACUCUUAGUGGCGCACGGGUGAGUAAUAUAUAGCUAACUUGCCCAUUACUAAGGGACAACAGUUGGAAACGACUGCUAAUACCUUAUACUCCGUAUCUAUAUAAGUAGAUACGGGAAAGUUUUUCGGUAAUGGAUAGGGCUAUAUCGUAUCAGCUAGUUGGUAAGGUAAUGGCUUACCAAGGCUAUGACGCGUAACUGGUCUGAGAGGAUGAUCAGUCACACGGGAACUGAGACACGGUCCAGACUCCUACGGGAGGCAGCAGUAGGGAAUAUUGCUCAAUGGGGGAAACCCUGAAGCAGCAACGCCGCGUGGAGGAUGACACUUUUCGGAGCGUAAACUCCUUUUCUUGGGAAAGAAUUAUGACGGUACCCAAGGAAUAAGCACCGGCUAACUCCGUG